rnacentral:rRNA from 1 species
UACGGGGGGGGCAAGCGUUGUUCGGAAUUACUGGGUGUAAAGGGUUCGUAGGCGGUGUAGCAAGUCGGGAGUGAAAUCUUUGGGCUUAACCCAGAGGCUGCUUCCGAAACUGCUGUGCUUGAGUGUGGGAGAGGCGCGUGGAAUUGCAGGUGUAGCGGUGAAAUGCGUAGAUAUCUGCAGGAACACCCGUGGCGAAAGCGGCGCGCUGGACCACUACUGACGCUGAGGAACGAAAGCUAGGGGAGCAAACAGG